CUACUUACCUAGCAGGGGAGAUACCACAGUUGUGAAGGCGGUUUUCUCAGGGCAAGGCUUACCCAUUGUUUUUCAGAUGUUCUGACUCCUGAAGUUUCCCCAAUCUUGGAAACUUGACUGCAUAAUGUGUGAUAAUGAGGAACUAGGUUUAUGCUCUCCCUG